rnacentral:rRNA from 1 species
AUUGAACGCUGGCGGCAGGCCUAGCACAUGCAAGUCGAACGAGUGGCGGACGGGUGAGUAAUGUCUGGGAAACUGCCUGAUGGAGGGGGAUAACUACUGGAAACGGUAGCUAAUACCGCAUACCAUCGGAUGUGCCCAGAUGGGAUUAGCUAGGAGGUGGGGUAAAGGCUCACCUAGGCGACGAUCCCUAGCUGGUCUGAGAGGAUGACCAGCAAAAAUGGAACUGAGACACGGUCAAGAGUCCUACGGGAGGAAGCAGUGGGGAAUAUUGCACAAGGGGCGCAAGCCUACUGAAGAAAUGCCGCGUGUAUGAAGAAGGCAUUCGGGUUGUAAAGUACUUUCAGCGGGGAGGCGUUACCCGAAGAAGAAGCACCGGCUAACUCCGUGCCAGCAGCCGCGGUAAUUC